rnacentral:rRNA from 1 species
AUCAGCGGCGAUAACAUGUUAAAUACACCAGUUCCCCACGGAUCACUGAAGUUAAGCAACGUUGCGCGUGGUUGUUACCUGGAUGGUGACCAUCUGGGGAAUCCGCGUGCUGCUGGGU